GUAGAAGUUAGUAUAAGUGCCAGACUGUGAUAGUCAUGAGCCGGGGUAAGCUUGGUACUACUUCUUUAUUUCUUUGUUUUUUUGUUGUUGAAGAGUAAUGGAUAGUUUUUGAAUACUGAGAAGUGAGUCUGUGGAAUAAAUCAGAGAUUGAUUUAUGAGUUAUUGAUUAUGUAAUUGGAGCACUGAGUGAUUGAAUUAUAUGAAGAGUUAUUGAAAGAUUAUGAUUGUUGUUUAUUGAGAGCUGUGUGUGUUUUGGACAAAAGAAGUUGGUGAUUACGAAAAUUUUGUGAAUUCAAAUUGGUUGGAGUAAAGUUUGUUAUUUCUGGUGUUGGAUGGAAAUUAUUGUAUUUUGAGUGGUCUUUUGAGAGUGUAAAGUUAUACACUGUUGUUAUCAAUUGAUGAAGGAAUAUUGUUACUAGGAGAAAACAUCGUAGUGUUUCUUAGUGUUUUAGUGGUUCGGAAUACGAUUAAUUGUAUAAUCUUAAUAAGUAAAACUCAUGCACUUAGUCUUUCCCUGUGUUCGAAUUCCCCUAUACAGGUUUAUUCUGAAAGGAAUUGUAGAAUAAGUAAAACGACAAUCACAAUUAUCUUUCAUCUUCUUCACUCAUGUAAACUUGUUGCAUCUCUUGACUAACUGCCAUUGCUUCUUGUGCUCAUCAUUGCUAUUGA
rnacentral:lncRNA from 1 species